UACGAAGGGUGCAAGCGUUACUCGGAAUUACUGGGCGUAAAGCGUGCGUAGGUGGUUUGUUAAGUCUGUUGUGAAAGCCCCGGGCUCAACCUGGGAAUGGCAAUGGAUACUGGCAGGCUAGAGUGCGGUAGAGGGUAGUGGAAUUCCCGGUGUAGCGGUGAAAUGCGUAGAGAUCGGGAGGAACACCAGUGGCAAAGGCGGCUACCUGGACCAGCACUGACACUGAGGCACGAAAGCGUGGGGAGCAAACAGG
rnacentral:rRNA from 1 species